rnacentral:rRNA from 1 species
UGCAGUCGACGAGAAGUACCUUCGGGUACGAGUAAAGUGGCGAACGGGUGAGUAACGCGUUGGUGAUCUGCCCCGAAGUGGGGGAUAACAACUUGAAAGAGUUGCUAAUACCCCAUGUGGUCAUGAGAUUUAGAAACUCAUGUCUAAAGGAUUUAUUCGCUUCGGGAGGAGCCUGCGUCCCAUCAGCUAGUUGGUAAGGUAAUGGCUUACCAAGGCUACGACGGGUAGGGGACCUGAGAGGGUGGCCCCCCACAAUGGCACUGAAAUACGGGCCAUACAUCUACGGAUGGCAGCAGUAGGGAAUAUUGCCCAAUGGACGAAAGUCUGAGGCAGCAACGCCGCGUGAGCGAUGAAGGUCUUCGGAUUGUAAAGCUCUUUUACGUGGGAAGACGAAGGACGGUACCACGUGAAUAAGGAUCGGCUAACUACGUGCCAGCAGCCGCGGUAAUACG